GGCAUUUCUAAGCCUUUGCUAUUGUAAACAUUUAUACUGCGUGUGGCAUUCUUUUCCAUAUGCAGCCAUGUGUCACUUAAUGAUGGGAAUAUGUUCUGAGACAUAUGCUAUCAGGUGAUUUCACUGUGUGAACAUCCUGGGGUGUACUUAUACAAACGUAGAGAGCAUGGAUCAGUGUGUUAGUCAGCUUUUCAAUGCUGUGAUAAAAUGCCUGAGAACAACAACUUAAAGGAGGAAGGAUCUAUUUUGGCUCACGGUUUGGGAGGUCUCAGUUUCAUUGUUCCUGGGCCUGGGGUGAGGCAGAGCAUUUUGAUGGAAAGUGGAGAAAGCAAAGCCACUCACCUUAUGGUGGCUGGGAAGCAGAGAGGGAGAAAGGGGCCAGGGACAAGAAAUAUCCAUUUAGGGAACAUCACCAGUGACCCACUUCCUCCAAUUUCCAUCACCUUCCCAAAUGCCCUCAACUGCGAACUGAUCAAUGGAUCUAUCCAUUAAUGAGGUUGAAGCCCCUACAAUCCAGUCACCCCCCUAGAGUGCCACCUCUGAAUACUACUGCAUCAGGGACCAAGUCUUCAACAUGGGAGCCUUUAGGAGACAUUCCAGGCCCAAACCAUGACACGGAACCUGGCCUGUAUAUGUGUGUGGCAUGUGUACACAUGCACAUGUGCACAUGCACGUGCACUAGGAACCAAACCCAGAGCCUUGUGCAUGCUAGGCAAGACUCUGCCCUGGAGCUAUUCCCAACCUGCUUCUUUUUUUUGGGGGGGGGCGGUGGAGCAGUUCCAGUGAUUGAACUUAGGGGCACUCAAACAUUGAGCCACAUCCCCAGCCCUAUUUUUUGUGUUUUAUUUAGAGACAGGGUCUCACUGAGUUGCUUAGUGCCUCAUUUUUGCUGAGGCUGGCUUUGACCUCAAGAUCUCCUGCCUCAGCCUCCUGAGUCAUUGGGAUUACACAGUGCCCAGCAGCAUAUGGUCUUAAAGUGAACUUAUUUUUUUUAAUAAUUGGAGUACACUCUAAAAUGAUGAUGAAAAGGUAUAGUAGAAUAUAA
rnacentral:lncRNA from 1 species